CCUUCGAUAGCUCAGCUGGUAGAGCGGAGGACUGUAGGACAGAUGGUAUCUGUAGACAUCCUUAGGUCGCUGGUUCGAUUCCGGCUCGAAGGA
rnacentral:tRNA from 1 species